GGAGGCACAACACGGGACUCAGAAAUACCUGGCUUGAAUCUUGGACACGCAGUUUCUUCGAAUCGGGCCGGUGUGGAAUUUAACGUCUAGAAAGCUGGGCUUUUGGUCAUCAAUGCAGUGUGUCAAUGUGGUGGUAUUCUGGGGGGCAGACUGAGCUGAUCCCUGUGCCUUUUGCCUCCAGAGAGCUCCACACCUUACCUGCUCCGUCCCAUUCCACCUGAGCCUCUUCCUCCUCUGCUGGGCACCUGGGCCUGGGAACGCACCUAAAGCCAGAGAGCUCCACACCUUACCUGCUCCGUCCCAUUCCACCUGAGCCUCUUCCUCCUCUGCUGGGCACCUGGGCCUGGGAACGCACCUAAAGCCAGAGAGCUCCACACCUUACCUGCUCCGUCCCAUUCCACCUGAGCCUCUUCCUCCUCUGGUAGACACUUGCG
rnacentral:lncRNA from 9 species